rnacentral:rRNA from 1 species
GUGGGGAAUUUUGGACAAUGGGCGCAAGCCUGAUCCAGCAAUGCCGCGUGAGUGAAGAAGGCCUUCGGGUUGUAAAGCUCUUUUGUCAGGGAAGAAACGGUAUGGGCUAAUAUCCCGUACUAAUGACGGUACCUGAAGAAUAAGCACCGGCUAACUACGUGCCAGCAGCCGCGGUAAUACGUAGGGUGCAAGCGUUAAUCGGAAUUACUGGGCGUAAAGCGUGCGCAGGCGGUUUUGUAAGUCUGUCGUGAAAUCCCCGGGCUCAACCUGGGAAUUGCGAUGGAGACUGCAAGGCUAGAAUCUGGCAGAGGGGGGUAGAAUUCCACGUGUAGCAGUGAAAUGCGUAGAGAUGUGGAGGAACACCGAUGGCGAAGGCAGCCCCCUGGGUCAAGAUUGACGCUCAUGCACGAAAGCGUGGGGAGCAAACAGGAUUAGAUACCCGUGUAGUCC